AACGCUAGCUACAGGCUUAACACAUGCAAGUCGAGGGGCAUCAGGAAGAAAGCUUGCUUUCUUUGCUGGCGACCGGCGCACGGGUGAGUAACACGUAUCCAACCUGCCGAUGACUCGGGGAUAGCCUUUCGAGAGAAAGAUUAAUACCCGAUGGUAUAUCUGAAAGGCAUCUUUCAGCUAUUAAAGAAUUUCGGUCAUUGAUGGGGAUGCGUUCCAUUAGGUUGUUGGCGGGGUAACGGCCCACCAAGCCAUCGAUGGAUAGGGGUUCUGAGAGGAAGGUCCCCCACAUUGGAACUGAGACACGGUCCAAACUCCUACGGGAGGCAGCAGUGAGGAAUAUUGGUCAAUGGACGAGAGUCUGAACCAGCCAAGUAGCGUGAAGGAUGACUGCCCUAUGGGUUGUAAACUUCUUUUAUACGGGAAUAAAGUUAGGCACGUGUGCCUUUUUGUAUGUACCGUAUGAAUAAGGAUCGGCUAACUCCGUGCCAGCAGCCGCGGUAAUACGGAGGAUCCGAGCGUUAUCCGGAUUUAUUGGGUUUAAAGGGGGCGUAGGCGGAUGCUUAAGUCAGUUGUGAAAGUUUGCGGCUCAACCGUAAAAUUGCAGUUGAUACUGGGUGUCUUGAGUACAGUAGAGGCAGGCGGAAUUCGUGGUGUAGCGGUGAAAUGCUUAGAUAUCACGAAGAACUCCGAUUG
rnacentral:rRNA from 1 species